rnacentral:lncRNA from 1 species
UCCAGUUUUGUGGAAGCCAAAGUGCCAGCUCUUCCUUUUCACAGCCUCACUCCUUCCCCGCGCCUCUCCUGGAUUCUACUCCAUUGCCCAGGGAGGCAGCCCAUGAGGAUGGCCUCAUGCCAGCAGGCUUCCCUGAUGGCCAGUGGGAGGCUCUGGCUGAAGAACUGAGGGCCGGGAGAACGAAAAAGGAAGAAUUAAGUCUUCCUGGGCAAUUAGGAAAAGGCUCUUGGAGGAGGUAAUAUAUGAUCUGUGGUUUUAAGAAUGAACAGGUCUUUCAGGCAGCAUGCAUGAUACGUUUCUACAGCUAUCUGGGUGACUAGAAGUUAUUUCUGAGCACAGGCUUGUCAUGGAGAAGAAAAGGGGAAGGAGAAGAAUCAGGAACAACAAUUCUUCCACUGCCAGAAACAUAAAACAUAACUGAAAUUAAUGAGUUGCAAAAUAAUUCCUGUAUUAAAAAUUUUUUGGAACGUGUUCACAUGACACUUUUUAAAGCUUCAUGCUUGUUUGGUUAAGGUCCAUACAUAUCAAUGUCACAUCCAAGUAAAUCUAUGUCUCCCCAAACUUUUCAGUCACAUAAUACAUUUCAUUACGACUCUUCUAUAUUCACAUAAUGCUUUUCCCAGUGUCUUACAGAUAACCCAUCCUUCAUCUAGGUAUCAGAGGUUGGGAUUCAACAUCUCAAAUAGAGAAAGAAGAGAUAGUGCUGACCAUGAAGACAUCUGGUAAAAUGUAGCAUUGACAUCGGAGACCAUUAACGGCAUAUACUAUAUUACAAUUUUAUCAACAGUAAAUAUGACAUCCGAGAUAAAGUUGUUAACCCAAACUAAAUUUUAAACUUUAUUAAUAGCAGAGCAAGAGUUCCUUCCAGUUAAAAACAGAAUCAUAUAAUCUUGGUAAAGUCAAGACAGAUACGAUCCUCAACUACCUUUGUGUCAAGCAGUUAUUUGUGUUGCUAUAAAGGUGUACCCUAGACCAGGUAAUUUACAAAGAAAAGAGGUUUAAUUGAAUCAUGAUUCUGCAGGCUGUACAAGCAGGGCACCAGCACCUGCUCAGCUUCUGGGGAGGCCUUGGAGAGCUUUUACCCAUGACAGAAGGUGAAGCAGGAACAGGCCUGUCACAGGGCAAGAGAGGGAGCAAGAGAAAGAGAGUGUGGAAGUGCCACACACUCUCAAACAACCAGAUCUCGUGUGAACUCACACAUCACCAAGGGGAUGGCACCAAGCCUUUCAUGAGGGACCCGGCCCCACGAUCCAAACACCUCCUACCAUGUCCACCUCCAACACUGGGGAAAAUAUUUUAACAUGGGAUUUGGAGGGGACAUCCAAACUAUAUAACCUUAAAAUAAAGCAGGUAACUCUCCAGCAAUUCCUAAAUUAAGUCUUCAUAUCUUGAUUCCAUUAUUUCAGGUCUAGGCUAAAACAUCUGAAGUGUCUGUUAGAAGUGCCAGUACUUCAACGUCAUCCCAGACCCACUAAAUUAGAAUCUUUAGGGGACGAGUUGAGAAAACUGCAUUUUAAAUCAGCCCUCUGCCCCAUCCUAGGUGACCUGUUAUGUACUCCAGGUUUUAGGAAAACCCAACCUCCAACAUAAAUACAAGAAUUUUAGAUCGUCAAAUAAAAUAGCUUUUCAUUUCUCUUGAAUAUUAUCGGGAAAAUGAGAAGUUCUAGCUAAGUGGAUUUCCAGAAGAAUUUAAUUUCAUAAGUCCCAAAACUUUGAAAUAUUUAAAGCAUUGUAAUGAAAAUCCUUCUAAACUGUGUUAUAGAAUGCUCUGUCUUCUCAAACAAAAUAUAUUGCACAAACUGGACAUUUGUAUUAGUGACUCAGGAUCAUUAUUACAAAUAUCCAUUAUUGUAAGAAUAGCUGAAGAAGUUAUUCAAGUCUGUAAAACUGCGAUCCUAUGCUAAAUGGCUGCAGCCAGCUGUGUUUUAUGGGGAUACAGUUGCUUUUUUUGUGUUUUAUUUAAAUAUUUUCCUGUUUUUUCCUUUGCUGUCAGCUAACUUUUAUUAAUGGUACCACUAUUUUUUUCUACUUUCCGCUUUUCUCCUUAAUAACCUAUGAGAAAGCAUGAGGAACUCUUUAUGAGUAAAGUUCUUGUGUGGGUGGAAGGAUCCCUUGGGAUGUUUUCAGGUGUUAUAAACCACAGUUCAGAUUGGCUGAAACAAUGAGGGAAUUCAUUAUUUCACAUACCAAGAACCUCUGUUUUGUAUAGUUGAAAUUAAAUUAUAUAUACAAGUCUUAUCCUGUUUUUUUCACUUAUUAUAACAGACCAUUUUCCUAUCAUUAAAAUCCUGUAUAAAUAUUCUCAUACAUAGUGUUUCACCAUAUUAAUGAAAUCAACAAUUAUCUUCUACGUGUCAAGUACAGGAAGGUGGUGGAGAUGAGAUAGAGAACAAGAACAGCCAAGGUCCCUGAUGUCCUGGGGCUGCCAGGACCGGUGAUGAGACUAAAUGGCUCCAGCAGACUGAAC